UUUUACGAUGGCGGUCGUAGUACAGGUUAAGUUGUCGAGGUAGAAGGUUUCAGUCUUUAGAGAAGAGUGAAACGAUUCAAUGGAGGCAUUGUCUGCGG
rnacentral:antisense_RNA from 1 species